rnacentral:snRNA from 1 species
GUGAUCACUCUGGCAGCACCUAUCACAACAUCAGAAUGAAACAGAGAAGGUUAGCAUGGCCCCUGUGCAAAGAUGACAUGCAGAGUCAUGGAGCGUUUCAUGCUUUU